rnacentral:rRNA from 1 species
UCGAACGAGAAAGCGGGGGCAACCCCGUGAGUAAAGUGGCGACCGGGUGAGUAACACGUGACUAACCUACCUUCAAGUGGGGAAUAACCUCGGGAAACCGGGGCUAAUACCGCAUAACAUCGCAGCCGUAAGGGCGGCGAUCAAAGCAGCAAUGCGCUGGAAGAGGGGGUCGCGGCUGAUUAGCUAGUUGGUGAGGUAACGGCUCACCAAGGCAGUGAUCAGUAUCCGGCCUGAGAGGGCGCACGGACGCACUGGAACUGAAACACGGUCCAGACUCCUACGGGAGGCAGCAGUGGGGAAUUUUGCGCAAUGGGGGAAACCCUGACGCAGCAACGCCGCGUGGAGGAUGAAGUCCCUUGGGACGUAAACUCCUUUCGAACGGGACGAUUAUGACGGUACCGUAUGAAGAAGCCCCGGCUAACUUCGUGCCAGCAGCCGCGGUAAUACGAGGGGGGCAAGCGUUGUUCGGAAUUAUUGGGCGUAAAGGGUGCGUAGGCGGCGCGGUAUGUCUCUUGUGAAAUCUCCAGGCUCAACUUGGAGUCUGCAAGGGAAACUGCCGUGCUUGAGUACUGGAGAGGUGAGUGGAAUUCCCGGUGUAGCGGUGAAAUGCGUAGAUAUCGGGAGGAACACCUGUGGCGAAAGCGGCUCACUGGACAGUAACUGACGCUGAUGCACGAAAGCUAGGGGAGCAAACAGGAUUAGAUACCCUGGUAGUCCUAGCCCUAAACGAUGGAUGCUUGGUGUGAUCGGUACCCAAUCCGAUCGUGCCGGAGCUAACGCGUUAAGCAUCCCG